ensembl:snRNA LOC120094412 U6 spliceosomal RNA
GUGCUCACUUCGGCAGCACGUAGACUGAGAGUCAGAAUGAUACAGAGAAGAUCGGCAUGGCUUCUGUGAAGGAUGACACUCAAAUUCAUGAAGCGUUCCAUAUAUUU